UCUUUUAGGGUUACGCUUUUACCAAAAAUUAAAGAGACGGAGACAGGAAAAAAACCAAACCACACUUACAGUACUAUUACUAAAGAUACCAUAUUUCCCCCAUCCUCAACUAUUUAAAAACCCUCCUUAGAAAGAGAGAAACCUCUGCUGUUACAUACAUCCUUUUGCAAAGAUUUUAAGCGUGCUGAGAUAACACCAGAAUGGGGGGAUUCCUGAGGUUAUUUGUGCAUAAGUAGCAGGGAGGAAAGUAUUUACGUUUAGAGAGAGAACUAAGAAAAGCCUCCUGAUGAGGUGUGAACCAAUGGAAAACUGCAACAGGGAAAACUAAGAGGAAAGGCAGCCUUGGACUAAGACCGAAGCCAAAGGAAACGGGGAGGCGAGCCCAGCUCCUCCUCUGACUUAGACCCCGAGGGCGGCGGUUUUCAUUCUGACACACAGGACUGAUACCACACUGACAUCUUGUGGUGACAGCUAUCAUGACACGCAGGUGGCGACGAGGCGAAACGGACCUGCAGAGCGCCACCAUCACCACCAUCUGCGUUCUGCGGCAUUUAAAGAACUUGGAGGGUUUUCUCAAGCACAGCCUCGCUGUUUUCACACCACGGAAAGAGAAGCGAGGAGAGGACGUGAUUGCUGUAUCAAGGAACACGGAUGCCGGCCGGCGGCGCAACUGUGAUAUUGACAACUGUACGCCAGCUGUCCUGGUGCUAAUAUUUCUGAUCAACGUCACCGUUUUCAUGCACUUGCAACUCCUGGGUGAGCAUUUCUUAUCGGACACCCGAGACUCCAGGGACGAGACUUACUGAAAGGUCAUUCAGCUUCUGGGAGGCAUGGACCACACAUCGCAGGGCGCCCAGCAGGGGGCCGCACGCAAGGCAGACUCUCCAUAAGCCUGUGGCUUGGCCCCAUGCUCUGCUGGGCCACUUUUGGCAAACUGGUCAGGUUUGCAGGUUCCUCAUCAAUAAAAUAUGAAUAAAUACCAA